ACUCAAUAAAUACACAAAAAGAUGAAAUAUCAAAAUUAGAAUCACAAAUAGAUAAUUUAGAAUAUAUAUAUCAACAUGAACUAUUCACAAUAAAAUGAACAAAGAAGAAUUUAUAAUAGAUGAAAAACUAUAUGAAAACCACGAAGGAUUAAAAAUAAAAAUAGUAUUUUCUAAUCUAGGAAGAAGAUAUAAGAAAAUAGGUGAACAUUUAUAUCUAAUGUUAGAAAAAGAAGAAUUAAAAUUAGAAGAUAAAUUAACAGCAAUGGUAAGAAUAGAAA
rnacentral:lncRNA from 1 species